rnacentral:rRNA from 1 species
GAUGAACGCUGGCGGCGUGCCUAACACAUGCAAGUCGAACGGAGUCCAGCCUUUAAGACCUUCGGGUCAAAGAGGGGAAGACUGAGUGGCGGACGGGUGAGUAACACGUGGGCAACCUGGCUCAUAGAGGGGGAUAACAGAGAGAAAUUUCUGCUAAUACCGCAUAAGCACACCCUGCCGCAUGGCAGAGGGUGAAAAGAGAAUUGCUAUGAGAUGGACCCGCGUCUGAUUAGCCAGUUGGCAGGGUAAGAGCCUACCAAAGCGACGAUCAGAAGCCGAUCUGGGGGGAUGAACGGCAACAUUGGGACUGAGACACGGCCCAAACUCCUACGGAAGGCAGCAGUGGGGGAUAUGGCACAAUGGGGGGAACCCGGAUGCAGCGACGCCGCGUGAGUGAAGAAGUAUUUCGGUAGGUAAAGCUCUAUCAGCAGGGAAGUUAAGGACAGUACCUGAAAAAGAGGCCCCGGCUAACUACGU